rnacentral:lncRNA from 1 species
CUGUGGAAUUAGAAGUGCUACACAUAUCAUUCUUGUAUAAUUCGCAUGCAGUUCAAAAAGUUUUGAAUGCAUAUGUAACAUUUCAUGGAAAUCAGAUAUUUCGUCCCAAUUACGUAUAAUUUGUUUUACUGUGUGUUUUUUUAUGCCCCAUGUAUGGGCAUUAUGUUUUCUGGUCUGUGCAUCCGUUCGCCCGUCCGUCUGUCCGUUCGUUCAUCCGUCUGUUCGUUCGUCCGUCUGUCCCGCUUCUGGUUAAAGUUGUUGGUAGAGGUAAUUUUUUAUGAAGUUGAAGUCCAAUCAACUUGAAACUUAGUACACAUGUUCUUUAUGAUAUGAUCUUUCUAAUUUUAAUGCCAAAUUAGAAAUUGUACCCCAUUUUCACGGUCCACUAAACAUAGAAAAUGAUAAUGCGGAUGGGGCAUCCGUGUACUGGGGACACAUUCUAGUUUUUUAUUAUUUUGAUACCUAUGUUAAAUAUUUUCUUAACUAUUUGUUUAUGCUCUGUCUUCUACGGAAUUCUACGGAAGCCGAUAAGGGUCAUUAAAAAAAA